rfam:Candidatus Vogelbacteria bacterium RIFOXYD1_FTLL_46_19 rifoxyd1_full_scaffold_2326, whole genome shotgun sequence.
UAAUAGGAAAUUAAGAGCAUAUGGUGGAUGCCUUGACACAAAAUGGCGAUGAAGGACGCGGCUUGGCGGCGAUACGCUUCGGGGAGGUGCCUAGCAACCUUUGAUCCGGAGGUUUCCGAAUGGGGAAACCCAAUCGAGUAAAGCUCGAUUACUCCGCUUUAGCGGAGAGUAAACCCAGGGAAGUGAAACAUCUCAGUACCUGGAGGAAAAGAGACUAAAUGAACUUCCUAGUUUGGAGGCGGAAAGCUUUCUGGCUUCCAAACUACGAGGUUCUUAGCAUUCCCUUAGUAGUGGCGAGCGAACAGGGAGGAGCCCAAACCCAUGAGUUUACUUGUGGGGGUUGUAAGACGUAAACGUAGUUAUCUAGGAAAGUAAAAAAAUAUUUUGUUAGCUGAAGCUGCUGGGAAGCAGCGCCGCAGAAGGUAAUGGCCCUGUAAGCGAAAACAAAAUAUCUUUCUUGUUUACGAUCUUGAGUACCUCGAGGAAUGAUAACCUUGAGGGAAUCAACCGGAACUAACCGGUAAGGCUAAAUACAUUUUGUGAUCGAUAGUGAACUAGUACCGUGAGGGAAAGGUGAAAAGCAGCCCCAUAAGGGCGUUGAAAUAGAC